AGUGUUUUGGGACUACAAUUUCCAUCAUCCCUAGUUAACAGGACCAGUGAUCAGGGAUGGUGGGAAUUGUAGUCCCAAAACAUCU
rnacentral:miRNA from 1 species